rnacentral:misc_RNA from 1 species
CGCACCUUGCGCUCCUUGGUAUUCCGAGGAGCAUGCCUGUUUGAGUGUCAUUAAAUUCUCAACCUCUCUAGUUUUUUGACUAGUAGAUGGCUUGGAUUUGGGAGUAAUUUUGCAGGCUUUCACAAGUCAGCUCUCCUUAAAUAUAUUAGCCGGUGUUUUCUAACCGUCUAUUAGUGUGAUAAUUAUCUACGCUGUGGACUAUUAGAUUUUGCGCUGCUUAUAACCGUCCUCUGGACAAUAUAUGACAUUUUGACCUCAAAUCAGGUAGGACUACCCGCUGAACUUAA